ACAGCAGUCGCCACGGGAACACGGAGGGUGCAAGCGUUAAUCGGAAUUACUGGGCGUAAAGCGCACGCAGGCGGUCUGACAAGUCAGAUGUGAAAUCCCCGGGCUUAACCUGGGAACUGCAUUUGAAACUGUCAGGCUGGAGUCUUGUAGAGGGGGGUGGAAUUCCAGGUGUAGCGGUGAAAUGCGUAGAGAUCUGGAGGAAUACCGGUGGCGAAGGCGGCCCCCUGGACAAAGACUGACGCUCAGGUGCGAAAGCGUGGGGAGCAAACAGGAUUAGAUACCCCAGUAGUCCCUGUCUCUUAUAC
rnacentral:rRNA from 1 species